UUCGCCUUGUAUAUUUUUCUCUCUAUACAAAUUAUUUUUAGCUUCUAAUCAGCAAGUAAAUGUUACAAAUGCUUAUCCAGCAUUAUUUCCAUCUUCCUAAAUUACACACUAUUUCUAAUAUUUUCAGCAAGUAACAACUGUUCUUCCUAAUAUUUUUUGCACCUUUAAAUGCAGUUGUUGUGGCUAUUCAUUUCAGCCAAUACGGAGAAGUUUAACCUUUGCCGCAUCUAUUACUUACCUGCUAUAUUGGAUGGAAGACCUACUAAAAUAGUAGCAGUAUGUUCUUUUGCAAGUCACAAAAUGUGGCAAAACUAUUCAAGAUCGGUCUGGCCAGCCCAUUCCAUCCCUCGCCUGGGAUGUGAAGUAACCACCGGAACCAUCUGACAUGUCUUCAUCGGAUAAGAGAAUCAGGCAGCCGUCA